GAUGAACGCUGGCGGCGUGCCUAAUACAUGCAAGUCGAGCGAACAGACGAGGAGCUUGCUCCUCUGACGUUAGCGGCGGACGGGUGAGUAACACGUGGAUAACCUACCUAUAAGACUGGGAUAACUUCGGGAAACCGGAGCUAAUACCGGAUAAUAUAUUGAACCGCAUGGUUCAAUAGUGAAAGACGGUUUUGCUGUCACUUAUAGAUGGAUCCGCGCCGCAUUAGCUAGUUGGUAAGGUAACGGCUUACCAAGGCAACGAUGCGUAGCCGACCUGAGAGGGUGAUCGGCCACACUGGAAGUGAGACACGGUCCAGACUCCUACGGGAGGCAGCAGUAGGGAAUCUGCCGCAAUGGGCGAAAGCCUGACGGAGCAACGCCGCGUGAGUGAUGAAGGUCUUCGGAUCGUAAAACUCUGUUAUGAGGGAAGAACAAAUGUGUAAGUAACUAUGCACGUCUUGACGGUACCUAAUCAGAAAGCCACGGCUAACUACGUG
rnacentral:rRNA from 1 species